rnacentral:rRNA from 1 species
GAUGAACGCUGGCGGCGUGCCUAAUACAUGCAAGUCGAGCGAACAGAUAAUGAGCUUGCUUCUUUCACGAUAGCGUCGGACGUGUGAGUAACACGUGGAUGACCUACCUAUAAGACUGGAAUAACUCGGUGAAACCGGGGCUAAAUCAGUAUAACAUGUUGAACCUCAUGGUUCUACAGUGAAAGACGGCUUUGCUGUCUCUCAUAGAUGGACCCUCGCCGUAUUAGCUAGUUGGUGAGGUAACGGCUCACGAAGGCAACGAUAAGUAGCCGACCUGAGAGGGUGAUCGGCCACACUGGAACUGGGACACGGUCAAGACUCCUACGGGAGGCAGCAGUAGGAAAUCCUCGGAAAUGGGCGAAGUCUUGACGGAGAAAGGCGGGGUGAGGGAGGAGGGUCUUCGGAUCGUAAGACCUUGUUAAUAGGGAGGAACGAAGGCGUAGGUAACUGUGCGCAUCUUGACGGUACCUUAUCAGAAAGCCACGGCUAACUACGUG